AAAGUACAAACAGGAAGGAACAAGAGAGAACAAGACAAAAAAGCCACUCAGGCCGACCGCCAUGAAAAUUAGAAAAAAAAAUUUGUGGCCAUUCUGUAACUAAAUAUGUAUGUAUGUGUGUGUCCCAGAUACAUUGUUAGCAAUUAAGAUUGAGUGAAAGAACCUGUGUUUGCCAAUAGCCAUGAAUACCUUGGUGAAUGUGCUGGUGGGUUUUUGUCAGAAUGACACAAACUUAGACAUACACAGAAGACGGAAUCUUAAUUAAGAAAAUGCUUCCAUACGAUGGCCAUUUUCUUAAUUAGGGAUUAAUGUGGGAGGACCCAGCCUGGGUUGGCAUUGUACCUUAGGCAGGUGGUCUUGGCAUCUAUAAGAAAGCAGGCUAAGCAAGCCAGGGGAAGCAAGUCAGUAAGCAGCAUCCAUCCAUGGCCCCGGUUACUACUUGCCUGAAGGUUUCUGCCUUGAGUUCCUGUCUGGAUUUCCUUUGGUGAUAAACUGUGACCUGAGAGUUCCAGACUGUGAUAAGACAUUUCCUUCUCAAGUUACUUUUGGCCAUAGUGUUUUAGCAGGUCACUAGAAACCUGGAUCACAAUAGUGAAUUAGGCAAAAUAUAAAAUGAAAGUGAGCCGACUUGUGAAGCUAUUGUUACUCAAUAAACUAUGAAACUGUGAAAAGAUACAAAUGUGUUUCUUUCAGUUUACUCCAACCAACAGCCUCAACAGGGUUCCACCCAUUCAAAAAGGUAUCCAGGGCCCAGAGGUAUAGCUCAAAGUGCACUGCUUACAUUUUGUCCAAAGCCCAGGGGGAAGGGGAGAAAAUGAAUAUAUUGAUAUGAAUAUACUGAUCACUGGAAAGUAAUUAGAAAUCUGCACUUUUUCAAAUAGAUUAACCACAUGGUGAUAUAGAUGAUAUUUAGUCCUUGUUAAUAGAAACUAACGGUUGUUCAUGAGAGGCACUGUGUGAUUUUUCUGUUCCUUGGCAGUAAACAUUUGUGUUUAUACAAUCCAACAACUAAUGACAAAAUCAUUUUGUCAGCUAACAGGGACAGGAAUUUUGAGCGUCACUCACCUCAGAAGGAAUGCGCCCACAGCAAGCAUGGAGGCUUUCAGGGAGCCCGCUGUAAUGCAGCCAUGAUUCUUAGCCUGGCCUAGAAAACCCUGACACGUGAGUCUUAACUGUCCCGCUCUUCCAGACUGCUUAUAUCAGUGACUAAUAUCUAAAUUUCUUUUCAAAACAGUUCUUAAUUUGAACGGAAUGCCUGGGCUGUUGCCAAUUGUUUUUAAGAAUGUGCUGCGGGAAGAUGGGCAUUUGGUCUCUGAAAUUCUUCCUAAGAAACUUCCAGAACCUCCCUUUCUUCCUUGGAAGAGCUGAGGUGUGCUCUCACCAGGACAAGGCCUCAUUGUUUUAGGGAUCCAGUUAAGUCACCGGGUUUGCUUCCUUUCGAUUCAUGCUGAUGUAGCGAGCGCACAGCAGCCGCUGAGUGUGUGGUAUGACUUGUUCAGGCUACCCAGCUAACCACGCAUAGCCAGCUGGGGAUGGAACAGAAAGGCCUGACGCACUCUGUUGCCUUUCCAAGUUGUGAACUCUUCCUUCUUCCUGUUGACAAACCUGGCUUACCCACAGAUAGGACCUAGCAGAGCACUGAAUACGACUUGAGAUGGAAAUGCAGCCUGGAGUCCUGUGGAACUCAUAGAGUGAGGUCUUCCCUGAACACAAGGAACCUGGGCUCUCACCAAAUGGCAGGUGCUGCCGCAGGACUGAAACUCUGAGCAGAUGUUGGAAGUGCUGGACGUUUGUGAGGAACUCGGUCCUGACGCACUAGAAGAAACAGUUCUGCACCCGGGGGCACUUCCUCGAUGCUCAGCAGAAUGCAUGCAGAGGUCAAAGCCAUCAGUAACUUGCCACUUACGUUGGCCAUAAGCCUUGCUGGAUACCAGGGGUUUCCAGCUGCCGCGCUGAGGGCUCUGUGAAGAUAGCCAAUAUUAGCUGUGAACUCUGUAAAUACUUACGAAAUGAGCAAUAACGAAGACAUAUCUGACCUAGUAACAUGACGUAGAGUGAUUGCUUUCCCCUUCAGCUCAGAGGAAAUCAGGAGCUGGAUUUCGUUUGCGCGAGGUUGUCUCCCCUUUAUUUCCUGCCUCACAAACUGGCAGCCUCUGAAGAGGAAGACUUCAGCUUUGCUGGUCUAAGUGUAACCAGGAGCCACUUCGCUUCUUCCUCUGCAGAUUUCUCUUCCGUGGAAUCAAAUAAUGAACCUCCCUCUUGGCAUUGUGGUCCUUGGUUUGGGUUGCACAGAGGGACACUUCUUGUGUGACUCUCUGGCGAAUGGAACUCUACUGUGUUGGAAGUAAAGGAACGGGGUGCGCCUGUGUUGGCAGGUGGCAGUGAGCAUGGAUGCUUUAUGGGCCUGGUGAGCCAUCAGGGAAUGCUAAGCUGUGGAGAGCAGUGAGGAGUGGAAGGACUGCAUGGAUGGGCUGCAUGCAUGGGCUGCAUGCAUGAGCUACAUACAUGAGCUGUAUGUAGCUAGCAUGGAGAGCUGCUUGGGCAAGGCUUUUGGUGGGCAGGCCCUGAACACUGUUUAGAUAGCCAAUAUUAGCCUAGAGCCAUCAGAUAAAGGACACAAAACAAUACAAGGGACACAGCUGGUUUCUGGAAGGAAAUCCUUGAGUUCUGUUUGUCCCAGUGAUACGGAACCUUUAUUCCAGGCUUAGACACACCAAGGCCUUUUAAAUCCAGAGCUGGUUGUAUUUUUGUGCUGCUGGAAUUCAAACCUAGGGUCUGGCACCCACUAGACAAAUACUUUACUAUGCUAUGACACCCCCAGUCUUUUCAAACCUUUAAAAGUACAGUCCUCUCCUUUUCUUCAAAAUGUAAAUACCUGCCCUCAGAGUUGGAGUCCGGGGACUGGAGAGAUGCUCAGUGAGUAAGAACAAUGGCUGCAAAAGCCUGGGGGCCUGAGUUUGAAUCUCUAGCACCCAGGUAAAAAGGCAAGCACGGUUGUGUGCACCAGUAAGCCAUCAAGCACGGUUGUGUGCACCAGUAAGCCAUCAAGCACGGUUGUGUGCACCAGUAAGCCAUCAUGGGGUGAGGGAAGCAUAGACAAGUUGAUGGCAGUAGGUACUUAGAAGUAACUUAGAAGUAACCAGAAUAUACAGACUGCGUGAAUAGCAGUGCAGUGUUAUUAGCUAUCAGCUGGUGUGCAAAUGUCGCGUACGUAGUACCCGAAGCAUUAUGAUAACCAACAAAGCAGUAUAGAAAAUUCCAGAGUCAUAGUUGGGGAAACUUACUUUCAACACAGCAACAGAACAAAAAUCUGCUUGCAGGUGUUAUGCCGAGUCCAUGAACUAUGAGCACAGCACAAGGAUGAGGGACUUUGAUUUGGGGGUGCAUGGUAACAGAAUUCAGAGUUCCUGGUGUCUUCUCUCUCUUUCUCUUAUUAGUUCUUGGACAUUGACCUCUGCAGCCACGACACAGUGUUCUCCAUUGCCUUUAACUCACAUGUCUCACAUCGCCUCAGCGUUAGCUUCUAAAACUAAUUUUUCUGUUUUCACAUGUGUGUAUGCAUGCAUGUUUUCAUUAAAUAUAGGCACAUAUGUAUGAUUGCAUGUGCACAUGCUUUAGCUGGUUUGGGGGCUCCCUUGACUCUGCCCUCUGAGGAUGGAUUUGCAAUCAGACAGUUACAGCUACACAGCACUCAUGUGAGUUCUGGGAUUCAUGCCCCAGUCCUCAACCUCUGAGCCAUCUUUCCAGGCCCUAAAAGCAUAAUUUUUAGUAAACAUAAUAUUUUUUUGCCAUUAUGUUCCCCUUCCACACUCCCUCUCCUUCAGCCUCUAAAUGGUCUCCUCUUGGCUUCAGGACCAUCUUCCGGGUUGCUCUUGCACAUAGGCAGGCAAGUCCUCCUGACCAAUUCUCUCUCUUAUCAUCCUGCAAUUCCCAGCCGGGACUUCCUCAUUUCACUUCCUAAACGUGUAUCCAGCCUGGGCAUCAUCCUCUUCCCCUGGGUCACCACAGCCAAGCCCUGAAGCAGCCUCCGAGGUAGCCCUGACCAAGGAAGAAUUUGACUCCCCAAAGGUUCAGGUAGAGGGGUGGAGAAGACGUCAUGGGCAGGCUGAUACCUUUCUCCAUGCAACAUCCUUGAAGGCUGGCACUGAGGCUGGAGAAGCCUGGUGCUGCUACAGGUUGAUACCCUUGUGUGCUGGUCCUCCAUGCUGGGCCAGAUGAGGUGCACCAGGAGCCAGAGAAGGGACAUGGGAAGAACUGUUCUGUUGUUAGCCAAGAGUUUACACUUCCGUAAUGUCCACUUAGUGGAUCUGAACUCCCACCUUGUGCUGGCUGUCUCUGUUGAAGGGCCUCUCUUUACCAUGUCCUGCAGCACAGACCUGUGGGUGGUAGACUUCUCAGCUGUAGUUUGCCAGAGAACGUCCAUUUUACUUACAGCACCUGAAAAUGUUGCACAUCCUCUCCCCAAUAUAAUCUGUGUGCCCCACAGACAUCAAGGACCACCCUCAGCUAAGUUUUUUUCUGAUUAUGUUUCAGCUGGGCUCUUCUUCUUUUAUCAACAACUUUGCUUUUAUCUAGACUUUCACGAGUUUUAGAGACAGUUUCUAAAACUUUUGCGUGUGAAAUAUUUAAUUUAAAACACUUUAUGAUUUGUUACCCAUUGCCUGUGUAAGUCUCUUUCUGAAUAUACAAUAAACAUAUGGUCGAAAAACAAAGUC
rnacentral:sRNA from 1 species